UACGUAGGGGGCUAGCGUUGUCCGGAUUUAUUGGGCGUAAAGAGCGUGUAGGCGGCCAGAUAGGUCCGUUGUGAAAACUGGAGGCUUAACCUCCAGCUGUCGAUGGAAACCAUCUGGCUAGAGUCCGGAAGAGGAGAGUGGAAUUCCUGGUGUAGCGGUGAAAUGCGCAGAUAUCAGGAAGAACACCCGUGGCGAAGGCGGCUCUCUGGAACGCAACUGACGCUGAGACGCGAAAGCGUGGGGAGCAAACAGG
rnacentral:rRNA from 1 species